rnacentral:lncRNA from 1 species
GAAAUAAGAAAAUAGACAAAUAAAUAAAAACUUCCUUCUAUCACAAGAUGGCUUUUGAGAAAUAUUUUUUGGGUGAUCUGGACAUCAAAUUUCUGUGCUAAUACUCCCAAAAAUUUGAGGAAUUUGUGUGAUUCCGAAAAGAGGACCUUUUGAUGCAGAAAUAGGCGUGAAAAAUAGUACGACUAUACGUGAUGGUUCCCCAACACAAUACAGAGGUCCUUACGAAGUUUCUCGAGAAAAGUUUUUUUGAAUGCUCUGGAGACCAAAUUAAUGGGCUAAUAUACACGAAAAUUUGAGGAAUUUGCGCGAUUCCUAAAAAAGGGACCAUAUAUGUGGAAAUGGAUAUUAAAAAUGGUGUUAGCACACAUGAUGAUUCCCCAACUCAAUACGAAGGUCCUCAUAAAUUUUUUUGGUGCUCCAGGCGCCUUUAUCCAUGGGCUUAUACACACAAAAAAAAAUAAGAAAUUUGCACGAUUCCUAAAAAAAUGGUAUGUAUAUGCGAAAAUGGACGUGAAAAAAUAAUGUGACUAUAUGUGAUGGUUCCCCAUUUCAAUACAGAGGUUCUCAUUAGGUUUUUUGAGAAAAUCUUUUUGAGUGCUCCGAGCGUCACAUCCAUGUGCUAAAUACACACGAAAAUUGAAAAAUUUGCGCGAUUUCUAAAAAAGCCCUGUAGAUAUGAAAAUGUGGAUGAAAAAAUAGUUUGUGUGUAUGUGAUGGUUCGACAACAUAAUACGGAGGUCCUCAUAAAGCAUUUUGAGAAAAGAAUUGGGUUCUUUAGACGCCAGAUUCAUGGGCUAAUAUACACGAAAAAUUGAGCAAUCUACGUGAUUUAUAUAAAAAGGGCAUGUAAACAAGGAAAUGGCGUGAAAGCUAGUGUACGUAUACGUGAUGUUUCUCCAACUCAAUAUGGAGGUCCUCAUAAAUAUCUUUAAGAAAAAAGUUUUGGGUACUCCAGGCGCCAGAUACAUGGACUAAUACAUACAAAAGCUUGAGGAAUUGUAUGAUUUCUAAAAGAGGGUUGAUAUAUGCCGAAAUGGGUGUAUAAAAUGGUGUGAAUAUAAUGAUGUUUCCCCAACUCAAAAUAUUUUUUGAGAAUAAAUUUGGGGUGCUCAAUUCGGUUGAUCCAUGGGCUAAAACUCACAAAAAAUUGAACAAUUUGUCUGAUCCUUUAAAAAAGAUCUGUAGAUGCAAAAAUAGGCGUAAAAUAAAUGGUGUGCGUAUACGUGAUGAUUCCCCAACUUAAUACAGAGGUCCUUAUAAAGUUUUUGGAGAAAAAAGUUUAGGUCCUUAGAAAGCUAGAUCCAUGCACUAAUAAAAACGAAAGAUUAAGGAAUUUGCACAAUUAAAACAAAAAGGACAUGUAAAUAAUGAAAUGUGCGUGAAAAAUGGUAUGAGUAUACAUGAUAGUUCAUUAACUCAAUACAAAGGUUCUCAUAAAGUUUUGUGAGAAAAAUGUUUGGGUGCUCCAAUCGCCAUAUCCAUGAGCUAAUACAUACAAAAAAAAAAAUUGCGCAGUUCAUAAAAACGGCCUAUAGAUGUGGAAAUGGGCAUCAAAAAAAUGGUGUGAAUAUACGUGAUGGUUUCCGAACUCAAUAUAGAGGUUCUCAACUCCUCAUAAUGGUUAUUUAUAAGAAAAUUAGGGGUGCUCUGGGCGGUUAAAUAAUAGGCUAAUACACACAAAAAAAAUUGAGGAAUUUGUGCCAUUUCUAAAAAAAGCGUCUAGAUGCGGAAAUAGGCAAAAAAAAAUGUGUGAAAAUAUGUGAUGGUUCGCCAACUCAAUACAAAGAUUCUCAUAAUUUUUUUGAGAAAAAGAAUUAAGUGAUAGGGUUGCAAAAUCCAUAGGCUAAUACACACUAAAAGUUGAGGAAUUUGUGUGAUUCCUAAAAUAGGGUCUGUAGAUGCGAAAAUAGACAUUAAAAAAUGUUGUGAGUAUACACGAAAAAUAGAGGGAUUUACGCAAUUCUUAAAAAAGGGCAUAUAGAUAUGAAAUUUGGCGUGAUAAAAAUGAUGUGAGUAUACGUGAUUGUUCCUC